rnacentral:rRNA from 1 species
GACGAACGCUGGCGGCGUGCCUAAUACAUGCAAGUCGAACGAACGGAGCUAGGAACUUGUUCCCGGCAAAGUUAGUGGCGCACGGGUGAGUAACACGUGGAGAACCUACCCUUUUGCGGGGGAUAACCAUUGGAAACGAUGACUAAUACCGCAUAGAAUCGCAGAUCGCAUGAUCAACGAAGGAAAGACGGCUUCGGCUGUCACAAAAGGAUGGCUCCGCGGUGCAUUAGCUAGAUGGUGGGGUAACGGCCUACCAUGGCAAUGAUGCAUAGCCGACCUGAGAGGGUGAUCGGCCACAUUGGGACUGAGACACGGCCCAAACUCCUACGGGAGGCAGCAGUAGGGAAUCUUCCGCAAUGGGCGCAAGCCUGACGGAGCAACGCCGCGUGUGUGAAGAAGGUCUUCGGAUCGUAAAGCACUGUUGUUAGAGAAGAACGACCGCUAGAGUAACUGUUAGUGGAGUGACGGUAUCUAACCAGAAAGCCACGGCUAACUACGUGCCAGCAGCCGCGGUAAUGCGUAGGUGGCAAGCGUUGUCCGGAUUUAUUGGGCGUAAAGGGAGCGCAGGCGGUGACUUAAGUCUGAUGUGAAAGCCCACGGCUCAACCGUGGAGGGUCAUUGGAAACUGGGUCACUUGAGUGCAGAAGAGGAAAGUGGAAUUCCAUGUGUAGCGGUGAAAUGCGUAGAUAUAUGGAGGAACACCAGUGGCGAAAGCGACUUUCUGGUCUGUUACUGACGCUGAGCUCGAAAACGUGGGGAGCAAACAAG